CUUCAAGCUUGAUAGGAAGCAAUCAGUUACAAGGCAUAAAGACAGAUUGAGGCCUUCAAUCAAACUGAGGACAGAGAAAUGUGCACCAGGUCAAGGCUUCAUGCAUGAAUGGCUUUGAGAUUGUGUGCAUUUAAGAAGCUUUGGAUGAAGGACUUCCACACGGCUGCCAUCUCCAAAGUUCACUCAAAAAGGCAAUAGUUCUGAACUGGGUUUGUUUUUGCUUUUGUCAUUUUAAUGAUUUCAAUUUAGUUAAUUCUCUUUUAAACAUCCAUUGCUUCAAAGCUCAUUGACCAGUUAUCACUUGGCUCUAAAUUCUGUAGUUGUAGUUAAACAUAAGGUAAACAUCCCCAUAGCGUUCACAUUUAUCUCUUGUAAAUGUUGAAUCUACAAUAGAUAUUAAAUAAACAAUUUAUUUGGGAAAUAU
ensembl:lncRNA